AUAUAUAAAGAAGCACAUUUUCUCUGAUUUGGGAAACCUGACUUCUUUUGUAUCUUUCUUUUGUUAGUUCUGACUGUGACCCUCAAAGGAAGGAAGUUACCAGCACAACAUGCGUUUGCAUCCAGAAAUUUCAAAAUCAGCAGAAGAUAACAUGCCCAACGUCUGCUAAAUGGACACAGAGAGAUGCUUGGCUGAUUUCUGACUUGCAGGAUAAAUACAUGUUGAGAUGAAACUGACUUGCCACCAGAAUGUAAGUAACUGUCUCUAUUUGACACAGUUGCCUAGUAAUGAUUAAUGAUUCAGAAGUCUUAACUCUAUAAAAUUAGGUUAAAAUUGCCCAAAUGGUGUCUUAAGUUAGUAGUGAAAGGACUGGAACAGACACAAGUAGAUAGAUGGUACAAGUUACA
rnacentral:lncRNA from 1 species